rnacentral:lncRNA from 1 species
CUGCAGCUGUUCUUAUGGUAGCAGUUGUGGCAUUCCUCUGUGGGAAAGAAACUGUUAACACAAACACCUCUUUCUUAGCAAAACAGAAAGUGGGUAUAUAUGUGUGACAGACACAAGAUGUAUCUGUAGUUUUGUUUGGCUAAGGAGAUAGUCUCAAAACAAAUUGAGAUGGAUUUGUUUGUGUCUUGGAGUAGGGUGAAA